CUUCGGACCCCAAAAUCGAAUUUCAAUAAAAUUCGAAAAGAAAAUUCCUCCGGAUCUCAAAAUCAAUUUGCAGCGAAUCUCAAAAAGGAACUUCUUCGGAUCACAAAUUCAAAUUUGGAUAAGUCUAAAGAAGCCUUUUUCGGAUCUCAAUUCCAAACAAAAAUAAAUACAGCCAAGUCCACAAAUAAAAACCCAAAUCCAAACCCAAAUUCAAUCAAGAAAGUCAAAACUGAAACCUAAAUCUGAACCCAAAUCAAAUCUAGUCCACAAAACCAAAACCAAAACUCAAAUCCAAACCAAAACCCAAAAUCAAAACCCAAAUUCAAACUCAAAACCAAAACCAGUCCACAAAUAAAAAUCCAAAUACAAAACCAAAUUCAAAAUCAAAACCCAAAACCAAAAUCCAAAUCCAAACCCAAAUCCAAUUAAGAAAACCAAAACCAAAACCCAAAACCAAAACACAAAUCCAAAACCGAAAACCCAAAUCCAAACCCAAAGCCAAAACCAGACCACAAAUAAAAACCCAAAUACAAAAUCAGUCCACAAAUAAAAACCCAAAACCAAAAUCAGUCCACAAAUAAAAAUCCAAAACCAAAAUCAGUCCACAAAUAAAAAUCCAAAACCAAAUACAGUCUAUAAACAAAACCCAAAUCCAACCCAAGUCUACAAAUAAAACCCAAAUCCAAACCCAAAUCGAAACCUAAACCCAAACCCAAAUCUAAUCAAGUCCACAUAAAAGCCCAAGACCUACAAAAUCUAAACUCAAAUUCAAUUUAGUCCACAAAUAAAUCCAAACUCAAAUCCAAUCCGGACCACAAAUACAACACAAACCCAACUUCUAACUUGGACUCAUGAACCAAAUUUCAUAAACCCAAAUUCCUUGAAUCAUGAACCAAAUCUUAUAACCAAGUUCAUGAACCAUACCCAAGUUCAUGAACCAAAUCUCAAAUCUCAUGAGCCAAAUACCCAAGUUCAUGAACCAAAUCCCAUAAAUCAUAAACCAAAUCUCAUGAAUCAAAUACCACGGACCACACCCAAGUUCAUGAAUCAAAAAAAUCAAGUUCAUGAACCAAAUCUCAUGAGCCAUAAGCCAUACCCAAGUUCAUGAACCAAAUCUCAUGAACCAUACACCACAUCCCGUGAAUCAUAAACCAAACCUCUUCCCAGAAGCCAUACCCAAGUUCAUGAACCAAAUCUCAUAAACCAAAUUCCAUGAGCCACAUAUGUAAGGUGCCGGACUACUAAAAUAAUGAAGUUACGGUUUAUAUUGGUUUGGAGAGCUAUNUGAACCAAAUCUCAUGAACCAUACACCACAUCCCGUGAAUCAUAAACCAAACCUCUUCCCAGAAG
rnacentral:lncRNA from 1 species